UCUCUAUCUAGUGGAUAAAGAAUUUUAUUGGCGUCUGACUGAAGUUUGCAAUUAGAUUCCAAACGUCCAAGUGGCCCCAUUAUUGACGUCCUGAGAGGGGGAUGGACAGUUUGAUUUUGCUGCUCUCUUUAGAGUGUGAAGGAACAGUACAUGAGGCUGGAGCUGGACACUUCUCAGGACAGAAGCACAUUCAUCUAAAUUGAAAUCUAAGGAAGCUUCUGUGCGGAAGUGUCUUUAGCUGCCGUGUGGUUUUGUUGUUACGGCAUCCCAGUUCACAGAUGAAGACAUUGAGGCGGCUCUUUGGGGGAGGAUUUCUCUACAAUGGAAGGCGGACAUGCGGCAAAAGCGAGAAUGGAAAUCAGGAAUUGGAUAAGGAUUCAGAAGAAGUAUGGGGAUCUAUCUGGCCAGCUGAGCUCCUUUCAAGAAACACAAGGUCAUCUCAGACGAGGUAGGAUUCCUAGUCCACGAGAAGUGGUGAAAGCCAGGACCCAUGGUGAGUGAGUGAGGACACUGCUUAGGGAAUUGUGGAGAUGAGCCA